UUACAAUCUCCCCUAGAAGCAUUUGACUGCGAAUCUUCUGGGCAAGAAAGGAGCUUGCUUCCUGAGGCAGAGCCUAUUUUUCCACAGGGAAAGAGGAAUGGCCUGCCCCUCAGUGGCAAGGACAGGUGGGGACCCUAACUCUGCAUUUCUCUGGGCGAAACAGCUGCAAUUCUAUCAACACUUCUUCACAGAAGAGGAAUUCACCUUGGAGCCCAUUCAUUACCCUUGGACCAUGCUCCUCUGAAAGCAAAGCGAGAUACUCAGAACUAAGUCAACAUUCGAGAUAACACAUGACCAGAGCCAACUAGAGUGGAAGCUGACCUUUUUGUUUCCUGGAUACUGUAUUCAAGAUGCCACUCUGAUCCAAGACUGUCAGUAUCAGGAGUUGUCUGAGACACAUCUGUGUCUGAACAAUUUAAUGAUUCCUAUUGAGUCUACCAUAGUGUCUGGGUCAACAAAAAUGUGCCUAAUUUGCAUAUUUAAGCAGAACCAAAUCAAAGGGGCAGUAUUUACUAAAAUUUAAAAUGACCGCCAUAGCAAGGCAAUACAUCUAUUCUGUGUACAUGGUGUUCCUGGAUGAAGUACCCUUGGAAAAAUGGCACCCUGGUGUGAAGGGAGAGUAACCGCACCAUCACCACCACAAUCCUGUCAAGCCUUCCGACACAGCUGGAGAUGGAGCUCAGAUCUGGAGCGAACCUGAGAAUUUGAAGGUCACCUUCUAAGCAGUGUUGCAGACCUCAGCCCAGCAAAAAUAAUGGAUUCCACUGGGAUGCUCUCUGCCCCAAUCUUGCCAUCUCAAGGUUCUGCGGCCUGAGUGACCCCAAGCAAGCUUCGCUUGUCUCUGAGCUUUCGAAUGCAUCUCUGCUGCUAAUGUCAGCUGGGCGAAGACAGGGCAGGUGGUAGUCCCAACCUUCUCCUUUUCACCACUGCAUCAUUUAUCCAUUCACCUGACAAUUAUCAAGAGGCUCCUGUCUGCUGGACACCACACUGGGCUUUGUCAACCUCAAAAUGGAAAAGACUCUCAAAGGACAAAGUGACUUGGCAAGCAAGUCAUUGCCACAGAAUCACAUCAGGCACUCGGAGGAGGGACUCAUCGCCUUGCUUGAAGGAUCAAAGAAGGUUCCACAAGGAGGUGAUGUUUGUGCUUGAUUCUGCAAUAGUUUGCCUGGCAAAAGAGAAGGAGGGAAGGACUUUGAAGUUAAAAAAUAUAUCAGCAUGAAAACAUAGGGGUAAUAUAAGGAGGAUUUGGUGAUAUAAAGUGGGGAGUGACACAUACACGCACGCAUAUAUAAUCCACUGUCUACUAUAUACCAAGCAUUGAGCCAAGUGCAUUUGUAUGCAUUAUCUCAUUUAAUUACAAGACAACGCCCUGAACUAGGACUUCUUAAAUCUCCAUUUUACCAAUGAAGAAGGUUAGUAAUUGUUGUUACCCAAGGUCCUAUGGCUCAUCAGGUGUUGCUAACACCAUAGCUGUUGCUCUUAGUGACCAUCCAAGCAGGUUCAGACAAGGUGAUAAAGGUCCUUCCAAGCCAUAUAAGGCCUAGGGUCUUUAUCCCAAUGGCAACCGGACACCGUUAAUGUGUUUACAAUAGGGCAUCAAAGUCCUGUGGCUAAGUUUCAGAAAGAUAAUGACACAGCAGGAAUGUGGAGGAAGGGGUGGAGUGGGAAGAGGCCAGAGACAGGGAAACCAAUUAGGAAAGCAUGAACAUGGUCUAGGUCAGGACUGGUGGAAACUUGAAUGAAGGCAGGAGUGAGAGAACAGCAAAGGUGGAGGUAUGAGGUCAUUCAGAAAUAAGAGCGAAAGGACAAAUGUAGAGUGCUGGAUGGCCAGGGUUACCAGAUUCUUUGUUGCAAACCACAGAAGCUAUGUAUUUGGUCUGGUUUAAGAAGAAAAUGAAUUCGCUAAAUCAUAGAGCUGAUGGAGUGAGUCUCUGGGAGGGUCAGAGAAUCAGAGCUGCAAGUUUUGCAAUGAGAGAGGCACCUGAAUUACAUUAGACCACUCUCACAGAAACCCUGCUAUCCUGCCACCAUUGGGCUUAAGGACUUGGACAUCUAGGUAUCGGUUUCCUAUUGCUGCCAUAACCAAUCGCCAUACACGUGGUAGUUGAAGACGAUGCACAUUUUUUCUAUUGCAGUUCUGGAAGUCAGACGUCUGAAGCGGGUCUCACUGGGCUUAAAUCAAGGCACUCGCAUCCCCUUGGCUUAUGUCACCAUCUUCUAUCUUCAAAGGCAGCAGAACCACACCCGCAAACCUGUCUUUCUCUCUCAUUUCUGCUUCUAUUGCCAUAUCUCCUUCCCUCACUCUGCUCUUGCCAUCACAUCACCUUCUCUGACUCUGACCCUCCUGCCUCCUCCUUACGAGGACUCUACAGAGUACCUCAGGUCCACCCAGAUAAUCCAGGGUAACUCGCCAUCUCAAGGUCCUGAGCUCAGUCACACCUGCUGCAUGGAUUCAUGCUCAGGUUCUAAAGAUUCGGACGUGGACAUCCUCAGAAGGCUGUUAUCCUGCCUACUAUAGCCGUUCAUCUUUCAGUUACUGGGUUCUAGCAAAGGACCUCAUAAGCCCGGUCUGUGAAAUGCUGGAUGUCACCGCAUCUGCCCUUACCCAGAAGGCUUCAGUGCCAUCCUUCUUCCCGUCUGUAGGUCGCAAAUCACAGCCGCCUGGGUUGUAUGCGAUCAGAGGGGUUUGGAUCACAUGCCCAAACCUUAGCUGCAGGGAGAGCUUACAAAGCAAGCUCUGACUUCCUCCUUAGGGAUCAUCAGGCUCUGAAGAGUGGGUGUCCCGAAGUUGCUGGGUGGUCAUAAAUUUGGCAGACAAUGACUAAACCUGGUCAGACCUCAGGCUGCGGCAUGGGUAUUGUUGCCAGGAUCACACGGAAGAGGAGCAUCUGCAAAGGGGAACCAGAACAGUAGGGUUGGUGAGGGAGCCUGACACCAUGACUCAGGAGUAUUUGUAGACUUGGGGACAUAUGGAGAGUCUUCAAAGGCAUGUGUGCCUGGGGUUUCCUAACAGUGAAGGAAGGGCUUGCACGGGGAAGAGAGAUCAGACUUGUGUGUCUCCAAAAGGCUAGGACUACGGGCAGAUACACUAGCAACGUGUUCUGCCUGUCAACCAGCACGCUCCAGAGACCUCGAUGGGCAAUGGGUUUGCUGCCACUUCAAUUUUGAGGCAGAAGCGAGAUGACAAGAUUUGGGGGCACAAAGAGGGCAUUCAAAUAUCAGAUGAAAAUUGCAUUAGAUAACUUCUAAGUUUUUAUCAUUUUGUUCUUACCCAAUA